CGAAUUCGCAGCAGCAGUUAACAUUUUAUUCCAAUUUCACUCGAACCAAAGUAAUUCUUCUUUCUUGUAUUAAAAAAGGUCACACAGACUUUCCUAUAGUACACGUGGUUAUUUAAAAAUUGGUGACAAGAUGCUUUCAUAGGACUAAAAAGUACAAGUUAAUGACUAUGGCAUUUC